AGCGAACGCUGGCGGCAGGCCUAACACAUGCAAGUCGAACGGAUCCUUCGGGAUUAGUGGCGGACGGGUGAGUAACACGUGGGAACGUGCCUUUUGGUUCGGAAUAACUCAGGGAAACUUGUGCUAAUACCGAAUGUGCCCUUCGGGGGAAAGAUUUAUCGCCAUUGGAGCGGCCCGCGUCUGAUUAGCUAGUUGGUGAGGUAACGGCCCACCAAGGCGACGAUCAGUAGCUGGUCUGAGAGGAUGAUCAGCCACACUGGGACUGAGACACGGCCCAGACUCCUACGGGAGGCAGCAGUGGGGAAUCUUGCGCAAUGGGCGAAAGCCUGACGCAGCCAUGCCGCGUGAAUGAUGAAGGUCUUAGGAUUGUAAAAUUCUUUCAGCGGGGACGAUAAUGACGGUACCCGCAGAAGAAGCUCCGGCUAACUUCGUG
rnacentral:rRNA from 1 species